rfam:Streptomyces turgidiscabies Car8 gcontig_1113219320601, whole genome shotgun sequence.
GUGGCGGUGUGCUCCCACGGGGCGCUCCCGUUCAGCAGGGCGUGGUCGCCGAACCGGUCGCCGUUGGCGAGUACGUCCAGGGCGACCUCGUCGCCGUACCCGCCGACCGAGGUCCGGCGGAUGCGGCCGUGGGCGAUCAGGUGGAGGCGGUCCGCGGGCGCACCGCGUUCCACCAGCGUCUCACCGACCCGGAAGUCGCGUUGGACGCACCGAUCGGCGAGGGCGGUCAGCACCUCCACGUCGUCGAAGCCGCGCAGCAGGGCCAGUUCACCGAGUUCGUGCGGGAUCACCCGGACGUCGGCGCCGUCCUGGACGAACUCCACGCUCCCGUCGCCGACGGUGUAGCUCAGGCGACGGUUCACCCGGUAGGCCCCGCCCUUGGUCUCCACCCAGGGGAGCAUCCGCAGCAGCCAGCGGGAGGUGAUCUCCUGCAUCUGCGGCGCGGACUUGGUGGUGGUGGCGAGGUUGCGGGCCGCCGCCGUGCCGAGGGACUGCCGGGGUGGCUCCGG